rnacentral:rRNA from 1 species
UGGGGGAUAUUGCACAAUGGGCGAAAGCCUGAUGCAGCGACGCCGCGUGGGGGAUGAAGGCCUUCGGGUUGUAAACUUCUUUUGCUCUGAACAAGGCAUGCCUUUGGGGUGUGUUGAGUGUAGGGGUUGAUUAGCGCCGGCUAACUACGUGCCAGCAGCCGCGGUAAUACGUAGGGCGCGAGCGUUGUCCGGAAUUAUUGGGCGUAAAGGGCUUGUAGGUGGCUGGUUGCGUCUGUCGUGAAAGCUCAUGGCUUAACUGUGGGUUUGCGGUGGGUACGGGCUGGCUUGAGUGCAGUAGGGGAGGCUGGAAUUCCUGGUGUAGCGGUGGAAUGCGCAGAUAUCAGGAGGAAUAACGGUGGCGAAGGCGGGUCUCUGGGCUGUUACUGACGCUGAGGAGCGAAAGCGUGGGGAGCGAACAGG